rnacentral:lncRNA from 1 species
CACAGGACCGGCGUGUGCGCAGCCUGCUGAACAAGGAUUUGAAGAUAUCACAAGGCCCCACCUCGCGGAAAGGGAAAACUUAAAAGUCCAACUUUUCAAGAGCCCUACAGGCCACAGCCCUCAGGAUAGGAUGAAGGAGUUUGUGUCAUGCCAAAGAAAGCUAGAAAAGCCAGUUUAAAAAGGCAAUUCACAUUUUAAAAGCAUCAGAGAGUUGCAGAAGCAGCAAGGACUAGAAGAACUAAAAUUCCAGAGAGGAGAGAACCUUUUGGAAGUGAGUUGACGGACUGCAGUCACAUUUUACCUGAGAGCAUUUUCCAGUCUUGGGUGCAGGCUGAUAAUCUGCCUUAGGUCCAAGCAUAGGGCUGCUGCUGAGGUACUGGGAACCCAAUGAAACUUUUGUUGGUCACUCAGGGUUGCUGUGACAAGACUGUAGACUUGGGGGACAUUAAACAUAUAGCUGUUUUUUACCUCUAGACAUUUUCAGAAUUCUAAAACUAUGUGGGGCAAGAGGUUAUAAAAUUAAGGAAAAUCUCUGGGAAAAAGAACAGAAUUUAUAACAAUUUCAUGGUACUAAGAAGAUGAAAAUUCCUGGGGUAGAGAAAGGGGAAAGAACACGCCAGGAGAAAGUGAAAGCCCUGA